UCCGCUGUGGUAUAGUGGUCAGGAUUUACGGCUCUCACCCGUAAUUCCCGGGUUCCAUUCUCGGCAACGGAA
rfam:Angiostrongylus cantonensis strain Taiwan genome assembly, scaffold: ACAC_contig0012659